rnacentral:rRNA from 1 species
UAGGGAAUCUUCCACAAUGGACGCAAGUCUGAUGGAGCAACGCCGCGUGAGUGAAGAAGGUCUUCGGAUCGUAAAGCUCUGUUGUAAGAGAAGAACGUGUGUGAGAGUGGAAAGUUCACACAGUGACGGUAACUUACCAGAAAGGGACGGCUAACUACGUGCAAG